rnacentral:tRNA from 1 species
GCGUAUGUAACUCAGUGAAUAGAGCGUCUGUUUCCUAAGCAGAAGGUCGUACGUUCGAUCCCUACUUGACGCG